UACGAGGGGGGCAAAUGUUGUUCGGAAUCACUGGGCGUAAAGGGCGCGUAGGCGGGCUUCUAAGUUAGAUGUUUAAUCCCGGGGCCCAACCCCGGACAGGCACCUAAAACUGGAAGUCUUGAAUAGUGGAGAGGACGGCGGAAUUGGGGGUGUAGCGGUGGAAUGCGUAGAGAUCCCCAAGAACACCAGUUGCGAAGGCGGCCGUCUGGACACAUAUUGACGCUGAGGCUCGAAAGCAUGGGGAGCAAACAGG
rnacentral:rRNA from 1 species